UGCCGAGUGCCGCCCCGCUCAUCCUGCCGCGCUCCCGUCAGCAGGCACUGACACAAACCUGCAGCAGGUGGACAGAAACACCAGCGUGGUUACUGUAAUGAAGUGUUAAUCACUUUCGAUUCUUCAAACGCCACAUCUGUUGGCUCUGUGACGGGUUUUAGUAUCAUUAUUUGUGGGAGGUCUGAAGCACUCUUGAGCAGAGCACACAUCUGUCAGGCUCGAUGAUCAUCCCCACAUUACUUGCAGAAAGCUGCAAAAAUGAAAAACAUUAACACUAAACCUCUGUGGGAAAGUCUGACUGCAGACAGCGACAAUAAAGGAGCUUCUGUUGGUUGGCUAUUAGGUUAGCUGCCAGUACCUGCUGCCUAACACAAUAAUGAUGACCGCCAUCUCAGAGAAUCAGCACACACGUGCACCGACGGGCAGAGGCACGCCGACCUGCAAGCCCUGAAAGACUCUUUGUGUGGUUUCUUUGAAAAGUUGGGGGAUGGAGGCUCCAACAAGUGACAUGGGAAACAACAGUUUGAUUAAAGCUCAGGGAGUGACCGGGUAUAUGUAGCAGGGUCGUCAAACUCAGAGCCAGCAAGUCUGCUGUGAUGUUUCCUCAGGAUGAGGUCAGGUUCACUGGGUGAAGUGUGCAGAAGCCCUUGGAUUGUCUGCCGGGUCUUUAUGCAAAGCUUUACAUCAUCUCUGUGUUCCCUCUAGCACCAUCAAUGGCUAAAUGACAUCACCUGGGUGAGCUUUGACUCAGGCAGUUUUGACUCUGCCUCUUCUUCCUCAAAGUCAAAGUUUCUUAAUGUAUCUGUGGUUAUUAUAACAGACACAGCUGGAUUCCACUCAAGUUUUUUAAGCCUAACCCUUAUUUUCAAAGUUCAGUCCCUGCUAAAGCCGACCCUUCCUUCCGGCUUGGUGGUCAGGUUGCUCUCAGUCUUCUUCGGUGGAUAAACUCCACUCAGACUGUGCUGGGUGAUGAGCUCCUGUAUUGAACUCACAAAGGGCCACAGAGCAGCGCAAAGCUCAUCGCUGCCUCCUGCAAGCCCAGCCGGGGAGUUGGAUUCUGUCCAUGGAUGAAGACUUAACUAGGGAUGCAGUGGAUUAUUGCUCCAGAGUUUCUGUCACAGGUUUAUUUCUUAAUUUACUCUAAGAAAGCAUGGAUGCCCAUCCUGCCAUCCACACAUGUGAGUCCCACCUAACACUAUUAGUUACCUCACACCUUGUGGCACUCUCUGGCUUCAUUCCAGGUUCAACUGUUCAAUAAUGAAAAACAUAUCUCCCUCUCAGUGCUGACAGGCACUGCCAGCAGCUGUUCCUUUUAGCUUCCUUUGUAUUUUUUACAGCAUGUCUAAUGUUCUGACGUCCUACUGAAACAAACACACCUGCUCUGCCUCACCUUUCCACUCAAGCUGCAAACAUCUGGCACCCAGCUGUUUCUGUUAUAAUAACCACAGAUCAAUUCAGAAACGACUCUGAGGAAGAGGCAAACACUUUAAGAGGAAGCUGGGCUUCUCUGUCUGUGGUCAUGUGAUAAUCCUCGUGAUGGCAUAAAGGUCAGAGAUCUUCUCUCAGAUUACCAUCAAUAAAGCCAGAGUGUCCACACAGCUGUGACGUCAGUCUGGGCUGCAGGACUCGCACCUCUCCUGAUGUUUCUAACACUAGCACUUCAUUUUAUUUUUAUUUCUACAGAUUUCUUCUUUAUGUGAAUGGCUGAAGGACUAGGGGUAACAUGUGAAGAUUUUUUAUCUGUCCCCAAAAACACCUUUGGUGUUGUGAACAGUCACAUGACCAGUGAUGAACCAACAAGCAGGAAUGAGCUGGCGAACCCUUAGACUCAACUGCUGUAGCCUCAGUGAAUGUGUGUUUCACAUAUCACUCUUGUUAAACAGGCUUAUAGUUUGUGUGUCCGGCCUUUGUGUGUGUUAAUAGCAGUGUGGCCCUCCUGUGUUUUUACAAGUGUGUUCACAGCACACCCUGUAAUGCCAGGAGUACCUCAGUGACCUCCCAGAGGAAUGAGGAGAGUGGAUAUGCAAUUGCAGAGGCUCAGACUCUGAGGUGUGUAAACAGCUCCCGGGGAUGUCGCAGCUGCAAGGAGCUGUAACCGCAGACCCAAUCACAGACAGGAAGUCCUGACUUCCGCCUGACAGCCGCUGAUGAGGAGGAUUUCUGGGAGACCAUACCCUGAGGAAACUGCGAUUCCUCAGGUGUUAUGACGUAGAAGCUCAGGUGACCCACAGCUGACCUCACAGCAGCGCGCGAACGCCCGCCGACUCCUUAUCAGCCUUGGGGCUGUUCGCGGGGACGCGCAGAGCGACAGCUGCCGGAUCAACAAUUCAUCCAGGAACUCCGGCUAGCUGCCGCUGUGGGUUAGCAGCCUCCGCCCAGCAGCCCCAGCGGCUCUUACCGUGAUUCCUGUGUGGGCUCCGGCUCCUCUCGGAGUGACGUCAGGGGCCACGUUAUCUCCGCGA